rnacentral:rRNA from 1 species
UACGAACGCUGGCGGCGCGCCUAAUACAUGCAAGUCGAACGAGAAUGUGUAGCAAUACACAUGUAAAGUGGCGAACGGGUGAGGACUACAUGGGUAACCUACCCUCGAGUGGGGAAUAACUAGCCGAAAGGUUAGCUAAUACCGCGUACGCUUCCCGGACUGCGGUUCAGGAAGGAAAGCGAUACCAUGGGUAUCGCGCUCUUGGAUGGGCUCAUGCCCUAUCAGCUUGUUGGAGAGGUAACGGCUCACCAAGGCUUCGACGGGUAGCUGAUCUGAGAGGAUGAUCAGCCACACUGGCACUGCGACACGGGCCAGACUCCUACGGGAGGCAGCAGUAAGGAAUAUUGCGCAAUGGGCGAAAGCCUGACGCAGCGACGCCGCGUGGGGGAUGAAGGUCUUCGGAUUGUAAACCCCUUUCGGGAGGGAAGAUGGAAUGGGGUAACCCAUUCGGACGGUACCUCCAGAAGCAGCCACGGCUAACUUCGUGCCAGCAGCCG